rnacentral:rRNA from 1 species
GACGAACGCUGGCGGCGUGCUUAACACAUGCAAGCCGAACGCUGAAGCUCAGCUUUUGUUGGGUGGAUGAGUGGCGAACGGGUGAGUAACACGUGAGUAACCUGCCCCCUUCUUUGGGAUAACGCCCGGAAACGGGUGCUAAUACUGGAUAUUCACUGGUCUUCGCAUGGGGGUUGGUGGAAAGGGUUUUUCUGGUGGGGGAUGGGCUCGCGGCCUAUCAGCUUGUUGGUGGGGUGAUGGCCUACCAAGGCUUUGACGGGUAGCCGGCCUGAGAGGGUGACCGGUCACAUAGGGACUGAGAUACGGCCCAGACUCCUACGGGAGGCAGCAGUGGGGAAUAUUGCACAAUGGGCGCAAGCCUGAUGCAGCGACGCCGCGUGAGGGAUGGAGGCCUUCGGGUUGUGAACCUCUUUCGCUCAUGGUCAAGCCGCAACAAUGGUUGUGGUGAGGGUAGUGGGUAAAGAAGCGCCGGCUAACUACGUG